GUAGGGAAUAUUGGGCAAUGGAUGCAAGUCUGACCCAGCCAUGCCGCGUGCAGGAAGAAGGUCCUCUGGAUUGUAAACUGCUUUUUUGGGGGAAGAAUAGUUUUCUUGCGAGGAAAUGUGACGGUACCCUAAGAAUAAGCCACGGCUAACUACGUGCCAGCAGCCGCGGUAAUACGUAGGUGGCAAGCGUUGUCCGGAUUUAUUGGGUUUAAAGGGUGCGUAGGUGGUUUGAUAAGUCAGUGGUGAAAGCUGGUUGCUCAACAAUCAAGUUGCCAUUGAUACUGUCGGACUUGAGAGAAGUGGAGGUUCAUGGAAUGGAUGGUGUAGCGGUGAAAUGCAUAGAUAUCAUCCAGAACGUCGAUUGCGAAGGCAGUGGGCUGUACUUUAUCUGACACUGAGGCACGAAAGUGUGGGGAUCAAACAGGAUUAGAAACCCCGGUAGUCC
rnacentral:rRNA from 1 species